GCGUAUAAAACGAUGAAUCAUAUAAAGAUAUUCAUAAUAUCGUCGCGCGUCUACGAAUCAAUCAUACGAGUUCGAACGAUAGUGACGAAAAUUUUUCAGAUUAGAUUCUUCGAAGAAAGAAAUAAUAAAUAAAUAAAACACAAGAUACUUCCCGAUAAUAAGACGAUACUAAAACAUAACAGUUCAAAAGAUAUCCACUAUCUUUACUUGGUAGAGUAUUUUCAAACGUAUUGGUUAUUAUCAUAUACAUACGUUCAUUCUUAUCUUUUCAAGACUUCAAUCAUAUUGUCUAAAGACAAACCUUCGACAAGGAAACAACAUCGAAAGGUCGAGAUCGUAGCGGACGACUUUAAGUGGCCAUAUUAGAAAAUUUGUUUGAAAGAAAGAAAAAAAAAAAAAAGACGGAAAAAGAACAUAAAAUGAAGACGGAAUUGAUAAACGAAAAUAGCAUAAUAUUAUUAUCAUUGUCCUUAUUAUUAUUAUUAUUAUUAUUAUUAUUAUUAUUAUGUAUAUAUUUUCUCUAGUAUCAAAGUGUCUAGUCUUUUAAGGCAUUUAUGAGGACUAAUCCAAUACAAAGAGACCUUGCGAAACAUUAUGAAUAAUUACGAUGUAAAAUGGACUAUUGUUAUUAAAGUCGAUAUUAAAUAAAUUACUAAGCUACAGUUCCAUAAUCUCUGUAAGCUCUGUAAUAUGAUUGUUAUCUAAAUCGAUAGGCACGCAAGAAAGAUAAGUAAAUUGCUGAGACACUCUC